GAUGAGCGUUUCUUUGCAUAUAAGCAGAAAUGUUAUAAUUAGAAGCUGUAAAUGUGAUAAAUAUGGUAUGGUAAUGGCGCAGAUCAGUAGUAGCAGGCGAAUAGCAGCUAACUACUCUCGUUGGGUUGGUGACAGUGUGACUUCAUUCAGACAGAGAACGAACUCCCAGACAGUUAAAAACAACAACAAAAAUAACAACAGCAGUGAUACAUCACAACACGCAAUAUGGAGUGAUGCACUUAAUGAGUGGCCUGAUUUCUCUUACGUUGUCAAUGGAAGAGGACCCAAGCAAUCCAUGGCCGCACUGGAAGAGGAAUAUGCCAACUACUCAAUCGGACUUGAAAUAAUUCGACUGAACAGAACACUAGAGAAUCUCAAAGAAGAACAUCAAAGGAAAACUCAAUUAGAAAACACGCCAAAGCGACAUAGUUUAAAAGAGAAAAAUAUCGCAUUUGACUAGUUAUAUAUUUUUUGCUUUCUCUAAACGCUUUCACUAUGAGGAUGUUAUUUUGAUACGAGAUAAUACAUCAAAAAAGUAAACUG